rnacentral:rRNA from 1 species
UACGUAGGUGGCAAGCGUUGUCCGGAAUUAUUGGGCGUAAAGCGCGCGCAGGCGGUUUCUUAAGUCUGAUGUGAAAGCCCACGGCUCAACCGUGGAGGGUCAUUGGAAACUGGGGAACUUGAGUACAGAAGAGGAAAGUGGAAUUCCAAGUGUAGCGGUGAAAUGCGUAGAGAUCCGGAGGAACACCCGUGGCGAAGGCGGCCCCCUGGGCCGCGCCUGACGCUGAGACGCGAAAGCGCGGGGAGCGAACGGG